rnacentral:rRNA from 1 species
CCUACGGGAGGCAGCAGUGAGGAAUAUUGGUCAAUGGACGCAAGUCUGAACCAGCCAUGCCGCGUGCAGGAAGACGGCUCUAUGAGUUGUAAACUGCUUUUGUACGAGGGUAAACGCAGAUACGCGUAUCUGUCUGAAAGUAUCGUACGAAUAAGGCUCGGCUAACUCCGUGCCAGCAGCCGCGGUAAUACGGAGGAUUCAAGCGUUAUCCGGAUUUAUUGGGUUUAACGGGUGCGUAGGCGGUCGGAUAAGUUAGAGGGGAAAUCCCGAGGCUCAACUUCGGAAUUGCCUCUGAUACUGUUCGGCUAGAGAGUAGUAGCGGUAGGCGGAAUGUAUGGUGUAGCGGUGAAAUGCUUAGAGAUCAUACAGAACACCGAUUGCGAAGGCAGCUUACCAAGCUACUUCUGACGUUGAGGCACGAAAGCGUGGGGAGCAAACAGGAUUAGAUACCCCAGUAGUC